rnacentral:lncRNA from 1 species
GGGCCACAGCGGGACGGCAGAGUUCCAGCAGGUCAGCGGCUGCGCACGCGGGCGCCGGCUCGCACACGGCGUAGGCCGCCCUCUACCGCCUGAAGGCCGGAGGCUAAGUGGGGCGCCAGCGGAUCCAGGAUCCCUGGGGGAGAGCCGCCUUCAGAGAAUGCCGUGCUCCCUACAGCGCCAGGGACUGACCGGCCUGUGCCAGCUUAGUCGGCGGCCCUAGGAGGCACCCGCACUAGGGCUUUUGAAGCUGGCUCCUUGCUACUUUUCGGGGUGGACGCUGCUGCUGCUCAGCCCCUGCAGCCCGCGUUUGGCCGCUCGGCUACAGCUUCCAGCUCGAUCCUACAAUGACAUAUGUCCCCCCAGGCGAUUCAGCGAAGCCCUACUUUAUCUUGUGAGAGCUGUGUUUCCACAUUCGCUCGAAAAGAAAGACCGCCCACGAGGGCCUGAGUUCGAUGCCCGGCCUCUCCCGACCCGCGGCUGCGACAGCCCCUCUGAGGCGGAAGUUUAUUUAGUAUGGCAAAGAGAACAGCACGGGGUUAAAUUCUGAGAGAGAAGAAAUUCCCAAAAGUUCUAAACAUCACUGGCCACCAGAAAAUAUCUGUGUCAAAAGCGUUUUUCCACAAGCUACAACCUACCACCCUGUUCCUGGGCUCUCUCGUUCUCUUCUCCCAACUGCUUGCCUCUGCUGCUCAUCACUCCCAGUUUGUGAUACUUAAGCUGCCAUAUAAGACAUGCCUUUCACCUUCUGCCGAUUGUGAGGCCUCCCUAGCCACAUGGAACCAUGAGUUCAUUAAGCCUUUUUCUUAUAAAUUAUCCAGUCUCAGCUCAACAACAACUUUUCUGCAAAGCUCUUGAUCCUUCCACAUCUGGCAUGAAAAUAUUCCAAGUUAUCUGUGUUGGCAGAUGGAGCUGUGCUGAACGGAAGCUUUAUCCUGGAUUCGGUCUUCUGUCCCAGCACGAGCACCUGACUCAACUUUGGAAGUGUGGAGAAGGUUAUGGAACUUCAUCCUGCCCUAGUUCACCUCCCCCCACUUCCAGUCCUACCCUCUUAUACUUCUUCUUGGUCCAAAUGGAUUAUCCCCUAAUUUUUCCCCUUAAAGAUAUCAAUAGAACAUUGAUUAUCCAUACUGUAUGCUCAUUAUUGUCCUGA